AACGUAGGUGGCGAGCGUUAUCCGGAUUUACUGGGCGUAAAGCGUGUGCAGGCGGGGAGAUAAGUGGUGUAUGAAAUCGCCCAGCUUAACUGGGCAAGGUUAUGCCAGACUGUCACUCUAGAGUACGGAAGAGGCGAGUGGAAUUCCUGGUGUAGCGGUGGAAUGCGCAGAUAUCAGGAGGAACACCAAUAGCGAAGGCAGCUCGCUGGGACGUUACUGACACUGAGGCGCGAAAGCGUGGGGAGCGAACAGG
rnacentral:rRNA from 1 species